rnacentral:piRNA from 1 species
UGGCCCGUUCUUGAUGGUCGCUGUCUCUUC